AUUGAACGCUAGCGGGAUGCUUUACACAUGCAAGUCGAACGGCAGCGCGGACUUCGGUCUGGCGGCGAGUGGCGAACGGGUGAGUAAUGUAUCGGAACGUGCCCAGUAGCGGGGGAUAACUACGCGAAAGCGUAGCUAAUACCGCAUACGCCCUACGGGGGAAAGCAGGGGAUCGUAAGACCUUGCACUAUUGGAGCGGCCGAUAUCGGAUUAGCUAGUUGGUGAGGUAACGGCUCACCAAGGCGACGAUCCGUAGCUGGUUUGAGAGGACGACCAGCCACACUGGGACUGAGACACGGCCCAGGCUCCUACGGGAGGCAGCAGUGGGGAAUUUUGGACAAUGGGGGCAACCCUGAUCCAGCCAUCCCGCGUGUGCGAUGAAGGCCUUCGGGUUGUAAAGCACUUUUGGCAGGAAAGAAACGUCGCGGGCUAAUACCCCGUGGAACUGACGGUACCUGCAGAAUAAGCACCGGCUAACUACGUG
rnacentral:rRNA from 1 species